UUGCACAGCACAGAUUAACCAAACCAAACGGAGGGAAUUUCUGGGUUGCGUCUAAUGGAGGGAAUUCCAAAAUGGCAUAUAGUAUGACGUCUAAGAGUUGGUUGAAUCUCCACGCACGUCUUUGGAUAGCUUCAUGAAGAGUUCAUGUGCUGUGGUCCUUAAUUCUGAGGUGUAGAAAACAAACUUUAAAGGCAAUAUUCAACUGUGCUCAUAUGGAAUGCGAGGUCUUUCUUGCUUUUGUCUUAUUAGUUUCAUCGUGCACUGAUCGGUCAGGUGUAAGAAUCUAAGCCACGCUACAUGGUUUACCAAAUUCACAAGUUCUAGGAAUUUGCUUUGAUGCAUACUUAAACCAACCUGGUAAAUUUCUUCCACGCGUCAUGAUAAAUCUUGGAGGAAAACCUUUUAUAGAUGAUGCAGGAUAUUUCUUGGUUAGCUUAGCCAUUCAUGGUGCAGAAAGCGAGAACUUUCAUGUUCUUGUCACUGUAGUUUCAUGUUGCUAUAACCCGUUAGGUUAUAAGAUCAGACUGCUGCCAUUGAACUAAGGAAACAAUCCCCUCUACAUGUUAUAACAAACUUUGCCGUUGUUCUUGUCAUUUGUUGAUACCUAUAAAUCAGAUUGUGCAGAACAAAACGUAAAGAAAAGAAAGACAAGUUAUGUGGAAGAAGAUAUAUCUUUAUUAAUUGCAUGAUUCUCUUAAAUAGAGUUUUUGUUUAACAGAAAAACAAUGAAAUCUGCUGAUUACAUAGAAAACUACUAAUAACAAAUCAAGAGAUAAAAACAGAAUUUAUUCCUAAAGAUUUGGUCUUCAAGAAGAAAUCUUCCAGCUGAUCUUCUCCUUAGCAACACUCUUGAUCCUCUGCAGCUUUUAAGGCAUUCUUUCAACACCCUUUUACGGGUUCUGCAUUACUUGGUUGAUUAGUUCUAGUAGGAAUCUGCUGUUUGCUUGAAUAUACAGGAUGCUAGCUGCUGUUGUGGACCUCAUGAAAUUGGAAGCACCAUCUUUUUGACAUCUAGCCAAAAUUUUGGACGGUUGUCUGGUGAUGCGCAUAGCUAUAGAUACAGUGCGGAGGUGCAAUUUCCACCUUUUUUCACCGUUUAGAAUCUGGAAUUAAAUAAGUCUUUCUAUGGUGGGCCAGUCCUUCUGCAAAGGCAAGAAGAUUACUCUUUUCAGUUCAUUUGGCAUGCCAUAUACAUCGGAGUGGCCGAUGCUAGGCGCGACUGCAAUGAUCCAGGCUGUCGAUGCAGCCCAUGCGCCUGUGAGAUCACUGCAACAGCAAUUAAUUAGUUUAGGGCAAAUUCUUCCAUGCCUUUGUUAAAGCACCACGUCAUUGAUUUUGCGUUCGACCACAUGUUUCAACAUUCGGUCAACUUCGCUUAGAUGUUUGUGAUGUGCGAAUCAAAGGUUACAAACAUCUGCUCGACU